rnacentral:rRNA from 1 species
UAAUGAAUAGGACGUGUGGUUCUAUUUUGUUGGUUUCUAGGACCGCCGUAAUGAUUAAUAGGGACAGUCGGGGGCAUCAGUAUUCAAUUGUCAGAGGUGAAAUCCUUGGAUUUAUUGAAGACUAACUACUGCGAAAGCAUUUGCCAAGGAUGUUUUCAUUAAUCAGGAACGAAAGUUAGGGGAUCGAAGACGAUCAGAUACCGUCGUAGUCUUAACCAUAAACUAUGCCGACUAGGGAUCGGACGAUGUUAUUUUUUGACGCGUUCGGCACCUUACGAGAAAUCAAAGUGCUUGGGCUCCAGGGGGAGUAUGGUCGCAAGGUUGAAACUUAAAGAAAUUGACGGAAGGGCACCACCAGGGGUGGAGCCUGCGGCUUAAUUUGACUCAACACGGGGAAACUCACCAGGUCCAGACACAAUGAGGAUUGACAGAUUGAGAGCUCUUUCUUGAUUUUGUGGGUGGUGGUGCAUGGCCGUUCUUAGUUGGUGGAGUGAUUUGUCUGCUUAAUUGCGAUAACGAACGAGACCUUAACCUGCUAAAUAGCCCGUAUUGCUUUGGCAGUACGCUGGCUUCUUAGAGGGACUAUCGGCUCAAGCCGAUGG